rnacentral:rRNA from 1 species
GACGAACGCUGGCGGCGUGCCUAAUACAUGCAAGUAGAACGCUGAAGGAGGAGCUUGCUUCUCUGGAUGAGUUGCGAACGGGUGAGUAACGCGUAGGUAACCUGCCUGGUAGCGGGGGAUAACUAUUGGAAACGAUAGCUAAUACCGCAUAACAGUAGAUAUCGCAUGAUAUCUACUUGAAAGGUGCAAUUGCAUCACUACCAUAUGGACCUGCGUUGUAUUAGCUAGUUGGUGAGGUAACGGCUCACCAAGGCGACGAUACAUAGCCGACCUGAGAGGGUGAUCGGCCACACUGGGACUGAGACACGGCCCAGACUCCUACGGGAGGCAGCAGUAGGGAAUCUUCGGCAAUGGACGGAAGUCUGACCGAGCAACGCCGCGUGAGUGAAGAAGGUUUUCGGAUCGUAAAGCUCUGUUGUAAGAGAAGAACGAGUGUGAGAGUGGAAAGUUCACACUGUGACGGUAUCUUACCAGAAAGGGACGGCUAACUACGUG